rnacentral:rRNA from 1 species
GUCUCCCCCCUCCUCCUUCCUCCCGCCCGCACCCCCCACCAUCGCCGCACCCCGGCGGGCACUGCCCUAAUCGGAUCCAACCAUGAUAUCCGAGACGCAGUGCGCCCCGCUCCGGCGAUAUUCCCCAAAUACUCUCAUUGCAGAGCGCGAUGGCGAGAUCUGGCGGCAAGCGAGGCGUGAUGGAGCACCACUGCCUGAACCGAUUCCGCCGCCGGCGACUCCUCGCCUUCCUCCGCCGCAACAGCCUCCCCGCCACCUUCGACGCGCUGAAGCACGAGACGAGCGUCUUCUUGGACGUGCGAUUCCUGCGGCGCCUGGUGGCGGACGGCCGGUGGAAGGAGGCGCGAAAGUACUUGAGCCACUUCCUGCCGUGCCAGGACGAGAUCGAGGUGCCCACCGCGCUCAGUUUUCUCACUCGCCUCAACGUUCUCGACGACCUCGCCCAGGGCAAGCUGGAGGGCAUCGAUUUGGCCCAAGAUCUCCGGAACCAAAUCGACGCUAUCCCUUCCACCAUGUUUCGCGAGGACCCGCACUACGCCUCGGCUGCCCGCACAGUCUUGUUCUGGCGCUCUCACCCGGCAAACUGGGGUCCCGUGGACUGGCAGCUCAUUAGGCGCAAAGCCGCGCAGGUUGUCAAGGACUUGGUCACGCGAACCCCCGAGUUCAGGCAUCUGCUGCGGUUGCCGCCGUGUCCAAGCCACCCAUGUUACACCAUCCCCUUCGGGUUUGGGGGUUGCCGGAGGCAUAAGAGGAAGAAGAACAUAGGCCGGAUGUCGGCAUCUCUUCUUGCCCGUCGUUUUCUUCACAAAGAGAGGCGUCAUUCCUCACCAUGGACUCAAGGUUCAUCGUGUGAACCUAUGGGUUUCGAGGAAAUUAUUGAUGAAACUAUGUUAGCUGGGAAGCUGGAGGUCAUAGAACAUUCAGAUUCUUGUAGUGAAGGCGAUCCUGGUUCUCCUGUUGGGUUAUCUAUUGGUAAAAGUUUUGGAACUGCACCUGCUAAUGCAGUCACAAAGCGUUUGAGUCAAGAAUGUUCCGCUGAAAGUUCCAAUGGUGCAAAACUAAAACCUACAACUGGGCAGUUUUGUCCGGAUGUCGUCGAUGCACGUUCUGGUUGGACGGUGGACGCCAAUCAUGUUUUAAAUAAAAUAGAAGCCCUCGGAGACAUUUCAACUGCCAUGGCCAUGCUAGUGAAUAAGACAUGCACAUAUGGUGGUCCAGAUCACACGAUGUUCAUGGAGAAAAUAUUUGAGCACGAGAAGAUGAUAUUCGAACUGCGAUUAGAUUGCCAAAAAGCAAAAACUAAGAGGUUGAACUUCUCCAUUGGCAACUUGAGCACCCGACAGAACUAGAAACUCUUAGCCGCUGCAUCUAUUGAUCCACCUUGGUUUUGUUCUUUUGUACUUGCUACAAGUUAUGGUGUAUUGUUUUCUUAUACGCUUUACCAGAAGAGCAAUGGUGUCUUAUCUUUGUUUUUGUAAGAGCAAUGGUAGGACUGUAGAAAGCACGCAGAGUUUCUGCUCCGGGUGAGGCAUUUCC